AACGGACGCUGGCGGCAUGCCUAACACAUGCAAGUCGAACGAUGCCUCCGGGCAUAGUGGCGCACGGGUGCGUAACGCGUGGGAAUCUGCCCUUGGGUUCGGAAUAACUCGCCGAAAGGCGAGCUAAUACCGGAUGAUGACGUAAGUCCAAAGAUUUAUCGCCCAAGGAUGAGCCCGCGUAGGAUUAGCUAGUUGGUGGGGUAAAGGCCCACCAAGGCGACGAUCCUUAGCUGGUCUGAGAGGAUGAUCAGCCACACUGGGACUGAGACACGGCCCAGACUCCUACGGGAGGCAGCAGUGGGGAAUAUUGGACAAUGGGCGAAAGCCUGAUCCAGCAAUGCCGCGUGAGUGAUGAAGGCCUUAGGGUUGUAAAGCUCUUUUACCCGGGAUGAUAAUGACAGUACCGGGAGAAUAAGCUCCGGCUAACUCCGUG
rnacentral:rRNA from 1 species